CAUUCAAAUUUCUGUCCUAUCAACUUUCGAUGGUUGGGUCUUGGCCAACCAUGGUUUCAACGGGUAACGAGGAAUUAGGGUUCGACUUCGGAGAGGGAGCCUGAGAAACGGCUACCACAUCCAAGGAAGGCAGCAGGCGCGCAAAUUACCCAAUGCCGACACGGCGAGGUAGUGACGAACAAUACUGAUGCGCGGAUCUUUCGGUUCGCGCAAUCGGAAUGAGUACAAUUUAAAUCCCUUAACGAGGAACAAUUGGAGGGCAAGUCUGGUGCCAGCAGCCGCGGUAAUUCCAGCUCCAAUAGCGUAUAUUAAAGUUGUUGCAGUUAAAAGCUCGUAGUUGAACCUUGGGCCUGGCUGGCUGGUCCGCCUCACCGCGUGCACUGGUUCGGCCGGGCCUUUCCUCCUGGGGAUCCACAUGUUCUUUAUUGAGUGUGUUGGGGAACCAGGCAUAUUACUUUGAAAAAAUUAGAGUGUUCAAAGCAGGCCUUCGCUCGGAUACAUUAGCAUGGAAUAAUGGAAUAGGACGUGCGGUCCUAUUUUGUUGGUUUCUAGGACCGCCGUAAUGAUUAAUAGGGACAGUCGGGGAGACUAGUAUUCGAUUGUCAGAGGUGAAAUUCUUGGAUUUAUCGAAGACUGACUACUGCGAAAGCAUUUCUCAAGGAUGUUUUCAUUAAUCAGUGAACGAAAGUUAGGGGAUCGAAGACGAUCAGAUACCGUCGUAGUCUUAACCAUAAACUGUGCCGACUAGGGAUUGGAGGGUGUUAUUACUUGACCCCUUCAGCACCUUACGAGAAAUCAAAGUUUUUGGGUUCUGGGGGGAGUAUGGUCGCAAGGCUGAAACUUAAAGAAAUUGACGGAAGGGCACCACCAGGCGUGGAGCCUGCGGCUUAAUUUGACCCGACACGGGAAAACUCACCAGGUCCAGAGACUAUUAGGAUUGACAGAUUGAAGUUCUUACAUGAUUUAGUUGUUGGUGGUGCAUGGCCGUUCUUAGUUGGUGGGGUGACUUGUCUGCCUAAUCGCGAUAACGAACGAGACCUUAACUUAUUAACUAGUAGUUUUCGUUUAGGCGGGAAUUUACUUCUUAAAAGGACUUUCGGCUCAAGCCGAAGGAAGUUUGAGGCAAUAACAGGUCUGUGAUGCCCUUAGAUGUUCUGGGCCGCACGCGCGCUACACUGACAGAGCCAACGAGUUCUUCCUUGACCGAGAGGUCCGGGUAAUCUUAGAAACUCUGUCGUGAUGUGAAUUGGCGCUUGCAAUUAUUCGCCAUGAAAGAGUAAUGCCUAGUAAGCGCAGCUUAUCAGGCUGUGCUGAUUACGUCCCUGCCCUUUGUACACACCGCCCGUCGCUACUACCGAUUGAAUGGCUCAGUGAGGCCUCCGGACCGGCUCAGACUAGUCGGCAACGACCGGUCAGAGCUGGAAAGCUGGUCAAACUUGGUCAUUUAGAGGAAGUAAAAGUCGUAACAAGGUU
rnacentral:rRNA from 1 species